rnacentral:rRNA from 1 species
UACGUAGGGUGCGAGCGUUUGUCCGGAAUUACUGGGCGUAAAGAGCUCGUAGGUGGUUUGUCGCGUUGUCCGUGAAAACUCACAACUCAAUUGUGGGCGUGCGGGCGAUACGGGCAGACUGGAGUACUGCAGGGGAGACUGGAAUUCCUGGUGUAGCGGUGAAAUGCGUAGAUAUCAGGAGGAACACCGGUGGCGAAGGCGGGUCUCUGGGCCGAUACUGACGCUGAGGAGCGAAAGCGUGGGGAGCGAACAGG